UGGACAGUGGUUCAGUUGGUAGAACUGUUGCCUUGCAGCAAGAAGGUCCUGGGUUCGAUUCCCGGCCCAG
rnacentral:tRNA from 1 species